rfam:Otolemur garnettii contig054068, whole genome shotgun sequence.
UGGACCUGGUGGAGGAGGAAGACAGAGUCAGGGUUACAUUAGUCUAAAAGAAUAGAGCAUAAAUUUGCAGUAACAGGUGUGAGCAUUCUAGCAGCAGUUUGAUGAUUGUGUAUGAUACUGCAAACAGGA